rnacentral:lncRNA from 1 species
CUCCUCUUUUGCAGGCAUGUGUGGCAGUUGACUUCAUGGUUGGGAAAAAGCAGAACAGCCCAAAGUGUCCCGGCAAAGGAGGUAGUUGGGAAACCUCAGGUUCCUCCAAACUGAAGAUUUCAGUCCAGGCUAUGCCAUAAGAGGAAAUCUCUAAGGGUUUCUAAGCAGAGUCUGUCCUUAAACAUGUUUUUAAAUGCUUUUUCCUUUUUUAAACAGGGCUGAGGAACCAGUGCCCCAGAGGACCUGGACUCCCCAGCACUUGUGUGAUGUGUCAGAGAUGAGCAUCAUGAGCCUCUUUGGAGCAGAAAGAAAAACCCUUGUACUUUGGGCAACUCUGGGAUCAUGUACACAGAAGAACCAAAUUAGCUCAUGAAGUCGAGGAUGGCAGAACACAAUGGUGAUGGCAGCAAGGUAAUCACAACACAGCAGCACUGGGCCACUCAGCAGUUCUUGGGCCAUGGUACAGCAUUGCUCUUGGAAACGUCUGUUGGAGCUGCUGAAGGGGAAUGACGCAGAAGCGUGGUGGUUUUCACUGUCUCAGGCUGGUCACGGUGUAAAACUGCUGCUAAUCGUGCUAGCUGGGGCAGCUGAGAUGCUUAAGGGCUGAACUACCACCAGAUGGCAGCGGAAGUCCAAAUAUGAGACAGGCCCCAGCGCUGCCCUGGUUUGCUAAGGGCCACCCCGCCAGGCCGAAGUCCCAGCAGGGUACAGCCAGAUAAGGAGCUCUGGGGCCUCCCACCUUGAGUUGAAAAGAUUUUUUUUUUUAAAAAAAAAAAAAAAGACAGCCACAGUUAUUAACUAACUGGCAUGGUGUAGCCAGUGUCAGAAAGUCCCUAGCUGAAGAGGUGGACGGGGACUAAAAUCUUUCUAGUGUUGCAGGAGUUCUUUCAUUCCAUUAGUGACAAAUUUAUGGCACUUUUUAAUCCCUCUCUUUUGGGCCCUUUACCUAAUAAGUAUGAAAUUACUGCUUUGUGCUACAUGACAAAAAGAAUUCAUGUUUUUUUUCCUGGGGUACCCGCUGGUGUAUUAGCCACACACUUAGUUACU